rnacentral:rRNA from 1 species
AUUGAACGCUGGCGGCAGGCCUAACACAUGCAAGUCGAACGGUAACAGGAAGCAGCUUGCUGCUUCGCUGACGAGUGGCGGACGGGUGAGUAAUGUCUGGGAAACUGCCUGAUGGAGGGGGAUAACUACUGGAAACGGUAGCUAAUACCGCAUAACGUCGCAAGACCAAAGAGGGGGACCUUAGGGCCUCUUGCCAUCGGAUGUGCCCAGAUGGGAUUUGCUAGUAGGUGGGGUAACGGCUCACCUAGGCGACGAUCCCUAGCUGGUCUGAGAGGAUGACCAGCCACACUGGAACUGAGACACGGUCCAGACUCCUACGGGAGGCAGCAGUGGGGAAUAUUGGACAAUGGGCGCAAGCCUGAUGCAGCCAUGCCGCGUGUAUGAAGAAGGCCUUCGGGUUGUAAAGUACUUUGAGCGGGGAGGAAGGGAGUAAAGUUAAUACCUUGGCUCAUUGACGUUACCCGCAGAAGAAGCACCGGCUAACUCCGUG